rnacentral:rRNA from 1 species
AACGAACGCUGGCGGCAGGCCUAACACAUGCAAGUCGAGCGAGACCUUCGGGUCUAGCGGCGGACGGGUGAGUAACGCGUGGGAACGUGCCCUUUUCUGCGGAAUAGCCUCGGGAAACUGAGCGUAAUACCGCAUACGCCCUUUGGGGGAAAGAUUUAUCGGAAAAGGAUCGGCCCGCGUUGGAUUAGGUAGUUGGUGGGGUAAUGGCCUACCAAGCCUACGAUCCAUAGCUGGUUUGAGAGGAUGAUCAGCCACACUGGGACUGAGACACGGCCCAGACUCCUACGGGAGGCAGCAGUGGGGAAUCUUAGACAAUGGGGGCAACCCCGAUCUAGCCAUGCCGCGUGAGUGAUGAAGGCCUUAGGGUUGUAAAGCUCUUUCAGCUGGGAAGAUAAUGACGGUACCAGCAGAAGAAGCCCCGGCUAACUCCGUG